UUUUUAACAGAGGAUAAAAUGUCUAUCAGCAUAACCAAGAAGAUUUGGGUUACUUUCACAAGUUUAGCUUUUUUUCUACUUCAGUUUGAAGCCUUCAUCUGGUCAAGCAGCUUUCAUUUCUCUAUUCAUUUUUAGUCGCAUUCAGCUAUUCUGGCACUGUUACCAGCGUUCAUAUAUUGGAUGAACUACUGAAACUCUUUUUGAUCAUCACUGGAUUAAAAGUAUGCAACAAAUGGCAUAUUUCAUGAAUAGAUAUUUGCAUAUCAUUUAUAGCUCAUAUUAAAAUGAACCCACAAACCUCAUUUUCAGAACAACUGAAUAACUGUUAUAGCAAGACAACAGGAAGAAUGAUUGUGUGUGUGGGGGGGAGGAUUUCCAGGUUGCAUGACUUCUGAAUUGAAAGAGGAACUUUAUAUGGCUUUCUGUAAAAAGAAACACCAAACGACAGUUUGGCCAUUUCUUCCAGCUGUCAAACGGACAUAGGUGAUAUAAGUUCACCUACACAUUUUGAUCAUGGAUGUAAAUCGCACUUGCUCAGGAGUUAAUUCUACAGAGAGUUGCACUCCUGAAAACCAAUCUUCUGUUGGACUUGCUGUUGGCUUGCCUAUAUUCUUUGUAAUCUUGUUGCUGGCGGGGAUAGCAGCACUAUUGUGGUUUCGAAGCAGAAAAUCAGUUUCUAACGUCGAGUUAUCUAAUAAACUUAAGAGCCAAGAUAACAGCCACAUGGAUCAUUCCAGGGAUUCUCCGUACAGUGGAUACGCCGGAGGGCCUCAAGCCACACCACAGAGCCCAAUCUAUGAGAACUUUCAGAGCGGACAGUCCAGUCAGCAUCAGUUUCAGAGGAGUGCCGUACAACAUGAGGACAAGCACAGAGUCCACCAGGCGCACCUGCAGUGUGAUCCGCAUGAUGCAAUCUACAGUAACGAUCCUGCCCUCUUCCACCCAGAUCAGACAGAAAUCUCGGAGGAUGUUUACAUCAUGCCAGAUGCUUGAACGCCUGACAUUGCUUGCUGUCCAGUAUUAUUUCUUAAAAUGUAAAGUAGAAAAAUUUGUGCUGGCAUGAUGUGAAAUAGUAAGUCUUUAGUUUCAGAGGGAAAAACCCCAUAUAUCAUUUUAUCUGAAUGGAAAUGUAUAGGGUGUAGACGUUCUUCUGUUGUAUUAUAAACACUUUAAUAGGGUAGUUCAACCAAAAAAAGGAACAUUUACUCGCUGUUUACUCAACCUUAAGUGGUUUCAACCCUUUAUGAGUUUAUUUCUUCUGUUAAACACAAAAGAAGACUGUUGGAAACCGGUAACCAUUGACUUCCAUUGUUGGAAAACAAAUACACUACUAUGGAUGUCAGUGGUUACAGGUUUGUAAACACCAUCUUCUUUGGUGUUCAACAGAAGAAAGAAAAUCAUAAAGGUUUGGAACCAGUAAAAGAAAAGUAAAGAAUGACAGAAUAUUCAGUUGUGGGUGAACUUUCCCAUUAAGAUUUGUUUGAAAGAACCACUUACUCUGGAUAUUCAUUCAGUUUUACUUUAUUUUACAUAAAAUAGUUUAAACCUUGAAUAAAUGUGCUCCAAAUAUAAAACCAACUUUUAAAGUACAAUCUGAACAAACUCUAAAACAAGUUAUGAUCUUGAUCUUUCCAAUGCAAACAUCUAAAGAUUCUUAAAUCGCUACAUUUACUAAAAAGUUUCUGUGAAACCGAUAGAAAUGAUAAAGAGUUCAUGGUAAAAACAAGAACAAAUAUCUGUCAAUGGGCUCUGAAAGUCAACUCAAGUCAUUUCUACUGCAAUAACCGAUAUUUGUUUUUGCUUGCUUAACUCAAUUUCGUUGUAUUUAAUAAAAAACAAGACCUAAUAUCUUUACUUUGCAUCUCAAGAAAGUGCAUCUUGAUUUAAGGAAUUUUAGAUAUUUGUAUGGGAACAGAAGAGCAAUGUUUUGAUCUUGUGGUUGCUUUUUGCAGUGCAUGCAACAUUUGUAAGAUUUUCUGCUCUAAUAUAAGUCAUUUUAAAGGCCUUAAAACGUUGAAGAGUAAGAAAACAUUUUUUCCAACAUAUCAUUUUGAACUGAGUGAUUGGAAUGCCCUCACAAACAUUACAUCAACCAACCUUUUCUGUAUUGACUGAACUCAGUGAGACAGCAAAACAUAAUCAUGACCUGACUGAUCACAGUUUAACAGGUGUCUCUGUCCAUUUCAUGCUGGUACAGACUGGUUUAUGCUGGCUUGGUUGACCAACAUAGUGUUUUCCUCUAGAAAUGCUUGUCUAUAUUUUCAAACACAGUUUCUUACGUAAAUCUGUUACAGUUUCUUCAACAACAAAAUGCAUUACGACUAUUUUAUUAUUAACAGUAAUAAGAAAUGUUUCUUGAGCUCAAAAUCAGCAUAGAGUGAUCUCCAAAGGAUUAUGUGGAAAAAGAAAUGUAAUAUUAUUUCACAGAAGUACAGUUUUUGCUGUAUUAAUGAUCAACAUCGGUCCACAAACAUUCAAAACCCACUAAGCCCAAAUUGCAGUAAUGGUAGAGAGUGUCCACGUUGUGUAACACGCCACAUAUUUCAUAAGAAUCUUUUUUCUCAUGCUUUUAAAUUUAUUAGUUGACUUUAAUAAUCAUCCAGACUGUGUCUUUUUAUUUUUAUGUCACUGUGACUCAUUGAAAUCGGCUUUCUUUAGCUACAAAUUAGCUGAGAUGACUAAACGAAAGAAGUGGAACAUUAGACAGUAGGUCAGCUCAUUUGGCAGUUCGGUGUCAGAAUGUCUCAGUGAGAGACGGAGAAAGCUUGACCUAAUCAUAAACAUUUCUCUGAAAUGUAGGUUUUUUUCAGUUGCUGCAUAUCCUGUUAACAAGUCACUGUGUCAUUUCCCAAUCUUAGAUCAAUGAGAUUGUUGAUCACAUUAAAUGAACUUUAAUUUACCUCAGUAGUCAUGAGAAGGCUAUUCUUCCAAAUUACAUUAGAAUUGCAUCAGAAACAUUAUGCUGAGUCAGUCCCAUUAAAGGGACAGUUCAACCAAAAAUGAAAAUUUGCUGCAAUGUACUCACGCCGUUAAAAAUGUGGAUGAAUUUCCUUCAGUAGAAUGUAAAAUUGUGGUCCUUUGUGAUUAAUGAAAUGUGAGUUAAUGCUGUCAUUGCUACAUGGAGGUCUUAUGAAGCAAAAUGCUUGAUUUGAGCAAACACUAAACAUUAUUAUUAAUCCACAUCCGCAUGAGUAUUGCAUAAUGUUGUAUAAUAUUGUUGAAUGUACAACAAUGAUGUAAAUAAUGCUCAGUUUUUUUGUUAUAGUCAAUUUGCUUUACUUCCUUUAGAUCUCGAAGAAUAAUCAGAAGCCUCAAAAAUGGUGUUAUGUUAUGAAUAAAACAGAUUCAAAAAUAACCACAUUUUUGCUAACAAUCCACUUUAAUGUUAACCUGAGGAAGAAGUCAGCUAAAUCUUAAGUAAGUUAACAGUAAAUGUUCAUUUUUUGGUGAACUGUAUAUUUUAGAUGGCAGCACUGCCUCCAGAAGGCCUCAAAAAUAAGGCUCGUGUGUGAGAAUCAUUCCACCACAUCUUAUAUCUUAUUAUUCUUCCUGACAAACAUUUGAUUUAUGAAAUAUGCCUGUCAUCCUUGUCAGUCAGCGAUUAGUUUAUCUAACAUGUUGACAAACAAGGCUGAAGGAGAAAGUUUGAAUAAUCAUUCAUGUCAAGUAGCCAUCAUUUUCCAAAGAAAGGAUUUGUAAAUUUGUGGAUGUCUCAGCAUUUCCUGUAUAAUUAUAAAACUUGUUAUCUAUUUAAAAUGUCUUUAAACGUUUCAUGUAUACGAGGCAUUAUACAUAAAACCCAAUACAGAAUAACGUUGAGUACCAUAUUGUCUUUCUAAAAUGGUUAUCACAGAAUAGAAGUAUUAAUAAAGUCAUAUAUAUAAUUUUUAA